CAUGUUGUUAGGCAGUCGCUAGGGUGUUUGUCCCCUCAUGUCGUUAGGCAGUCGCUAGGGUGUCCCGGAUGUUUUUCCCCCCUCAUGUUGUUAGGCAGUCGCUAGGGUGUUUGUCCCCUCAUGUUGUUAGGCAGUCGCUAGGGUGUUUGUCCCCUCAUGUUGUUAGGCAGUCGCUAGGGUGUUCCGGGUGUUUUUUUCCCCCCUCAUGUCGUUAGGCAGUCGCUAGGGUGUUCCAGGUGUUUUUCCCCCUUAUGUUGUUAGGCAGUUGCUAGGGUGUUCCAGUUUUUUUGGUUUGUUUUUAUACCAUGUAGUUAGGCAGUCGCUAGGGUAUUCCGGGUGUUUGCUUACCAUGUUGUUAGGCAGUUGCUAGGGUGUUCCGGGUGUUUGUUUACCAUGUUGUUAGUCAGUUGCCAGCGUGUUCCGGGUGUUCUUUCCCCUCAUGUUGUUAGGCAGUCGCUAGGGUGUUCCGGGUGUUUUUUUGUUUGUUUUUUUACCAUGUUGUUAGGCAGUCGCUGGUGUGGACAAUGGACAAUUUUUUUUUUUUUUUUACCAUGCCGUUAGGCGGUUGUAAGUGUGUUCAGGGUGUUUCUUUUACUAUGUUGUUAGGCAGUUACUAGGGUGU
ensembl:lncRNA